AGUUCAUCAGCAGUCAACAUCCCAUUAAAAUGUAUCAGCUGUCCAAUUUCACUAAUUACUACCUGCUUCUUCCAUCCAUUUCUCCUGCUUUUAAUCUCAAUUUUACACCUUUUUACCGGAGGAGAAGAGGGGGAAUUGUCGGUUUGUUAGAAUAAAGACAGAGAGAGAGUAAAAGCGCAAAGGGGAAAAGUUUCACUUACUCAAAAGAGCCAAACAUACCUGGCUAGAUUAGAUGUUCCUGUAAUCUGCAGGUGGAUGGAAGAACUUCACGCCCAGUUGCUCGUAAAAAGGGGGUGUAGGAACCCCGGAAUGGCUUGGGUCAGUUUUUGGAUGGAAAUGAUGAAUGUCUUCAAGAACACACUUCUAAUCGUUCAGCUGAACACAGCCAAUUCACUGCAGGGGGUCAGGAUGCCGAGCCAAGCCCAUAACAGACAACCCAGAGGAACGGAUAAGAGAGGAAAACGUCAGGAGCGCUGACGGCCAUUAGGAAACAACUCUUCAAGAUGAAGCACCCAGAUAAAAUAAACAAUUAAAUAGACAAAUAAAACGAGCACUAUGUCCAGAUUAUAUGGUGCACUUGCUGCCACUGGCCACUGACCUUGAGGACCUUUCUUUGUUCUUCCACUCCUUGGCUCCUGCAACUGAGCCAACUCCAACACCAGUGUUUCAAAAUUGAGUACAUUGAACAGCAUAAACUUUUCAAAAAUGUAGUUUUUUUCGCUGAACUCCGUGGUCCUCCGGUAAUUUUAGUCCCGUCUGUACUCACAUCUGAGUUUCGUCUUCUCCCGUUUAAUAAAAUAGCUAUUUGUCCACUUGUACACUUUGGACGCAUGUUUCCACAAAGAUCCACAUAAACACAACAGCAAGUGGAAGUGGAGGAGCUACUGAACGCGAUGUCAUGUGACCGAGAAAGCCU